AGCUGCCUUCAGCCUUUACCGGCGGAAUCCACACCAGCCAGACCACACAGUUUGCACUUCCGGGGCGGGCGAGGUCGGCUUCCGCUGUGAGGGGGGGGGGGGGGGAAGCAGGCCACGCCCUUCGUUGCCGCUCUCCCGCCCCCUUCCUCUGCCUGAGCCAAUCAGAGACGUGGGACUCGGGUUGUUCAGUUACAACCGGGCGUCUGCGCGCCCCCUCGCCUCGGGGGCUGGAGGAUCGGAAGCGGCCUUUCUUGGCUCAGCCGACGGUGAACGGAAGUAACCCGUCCGGCCUGUAGAGGGUGGCUGGUCCCGUUGCUAUGGGAGCAGCAAGUCUCUACGCGCCCCUCACCGCGACUGAAGGCUACAUUGAAGAAGUUGCGGCCUAACACGUCUAAUAGAAGACAGCGAAAUUAGAGAUGAGGAAGAUUAAGGAGAUUCAAAGUGGGAGCCAAUACAGAAGCAAAGAUGACAUCUUCUGAUUUGGACAGAAUUUUCCUCCUACAGAGAGGCCAGAGAGUAUAACAUAAUACCAAGAGUUACCAUUUACUUAAAGCUUACUGGAUGUUGGGCACUGUGUGUGAAUUGUCUCAGUUAAUAAGGUCUGAAAUAGGUCCUCUUAUCCCCAUUUUACAGAUUGGAAAACAGACCCACAGAAUUUAAGCAGUUAAUAAAGGAUUGGGUUCAUACUUAAAUCCAGGUCUACUUGAACCCAAAGUAUGUGUGUAAUAGAAAUCUCUAUUUCCUUAAGAUAAAUUCUUCAAAGUGGAAUCCAUAGGCGAGCACAUUUUAAAGACUUUUGUUACAAUUAACAAAUUGCCCUCCAAAAAGAUUAUGUCAAUACCAAAGUUAGCCAAAGGUAGUACAAAGAAAAUUACAGAUUAAUAUCUCUCAUGAACAUAGAAGCAAAAAUAGCAACAAAUUAUUAGCACAUCAAAUCCUGCAAUACAUAAAAAAAGAAUAACAUGUAAUUACAAAGUAAAACAUAAACCUGGAAUGCAAAGCUGAUUAAACACUUAAAAAUCAAUGUAAUAUGCCAUAUUAACAAUCUGAGAAGUAAAACCACAUGAUCAUGUCAAUUGAUGCAGGAAGAAGCAUUUGACAAAAUUCAAUAUUCAUGAUACAAACUCUCAGAAAACUAGAACAAAAGGGAACUUCCCAAACUUGAUAAAGGGUAUCUACAAAAUCCUACACCUAAAAUCAUACUUCACAGUAAAAGAUUGCUUUCUCCCUAAGAUCAAGACAAGACAAGGAUGUCUACUUUCACCACUCCUAUUUAACAUCAUACGUGAAGUCCUAGCCCUUGCAAUAAGGCAAGAAAAAGAAAAAGCAUACAGAAUGGAAAGAAACUGUCCCUGUUCACAGAAGAUAUGAUAGUCUACACAGAAAAUCCUAGAGUCAACAGCAACAAAAACAAAACCUCCUAGAACAUAAGUUUAGCAAGGAUACAAAAACUAUAUUUCUAUGUACUAGCAAUGAACAUCAGAAAUUGAAGUUGAAAACACAGUUGCUCUAAAAAGCCAUAAAAUAUUUGUCAAUUUUGCUGUGUGUUAGUUUUUAUUUAUUGAUUUGUUUGUUUAUUUUGAGACAGGGUCUCACACUGUUGCCCAGGCUGGAGUGCAGUGGCACGCUCACUGCUCACUGCAGCCUUAACCUCCCCUGGCUCAAAUAAUCCUCUCGCCUCAGCCUUUUGAGUAGCUGGGACUACAGGCACACACCACCAUGCCUGGCUAAUUGUGUGUUAAUUUUUUAAUGUCUUUAAAAUUGUGUCAAUUUACAUGCUGGCUAGCAUUUACCAUAUUAUAGCCAAUUUUGGAUAUUGUCAUUAUUUUUUCAUAUAUCAAGUCAUUAAAAAAUAAGGUAUAUAGGCCAGGCAUAGUGGCUCAUGCCUGUAAUCCCAGCAUUUUGGGAGGCCAAGGUGGGCAGAUCACCUGAAGGUCAGGAGUUUGGGACCAGCCUGGCCAACAUGGCAAAACUCUGUCUCCACUGAAAAUACAAAAAUUAGCUGGGGGUGGUGGCACAUGUCUGUAGUCCCAGCUACUAGAGAGGCUGAAGCAGGAGAAUAGCUUGAACCUGGGAGGUGGAGGUUGCAGUGAGCUGAGAUUGUGCCACUGCACUCCAGCCUGGGUGACAGAGCAAGAGUGUGUCUCAAAAACAAACAACAACAACAACAACAAAAAAAAGGUAUAUAGUAUUUUAUAUAUACUAAAGAAUUUAUAUGUGUGUGUAUGCAAGUUAUAAAGCAUGACGACGAACAGGUUGAGGAAUGUGAACCUAAACUUUGAAACUAAAAUAUUCAAAUUAAUAGAGAUAGAAAGCAAAGCUGUGUUGGCCAGGCACAGUAGCUCACACCUGAAUCCCAGCACUUUGGGAGGACAAGGUGGGAGGAUGGCUUCAGCCCAAGAGUUGAAACCAGCCCUGACAACAUAUCAAGACCCCCAUCUGUACAAAAAAUUUAAAAAUUAGCUAGGUGUGGUGAUGCAUGUCUGUAGUCCCAACUAUUUGGGAGGCUGAGCGGGGAGGAUCUCUUGAGCCUGGGAGGUUGAGGCUGCAGUGAGCUAUGUAUGAUCCUGCAGUGAGCUAUGAUCCUGCCACUGCACCCCAGCUUGGGCAGCAGGGCAAGACCCUGUCUCAAAAAAGAUAAAGAAAAGAAAGAAAGUAGAACUGUGGUUGCCAGGGUCUGAGGGGAGGGAGAGAGUUACUGUUUAAUGGCUACAGAGUUUUAGUUUUGCAAGUCGAGUUCUAGAGAUAGAUGGUGGAUAAUGGUUGUGCAUUUAUAUUGCACAACAAUGUGAAUGUACUUCAUGCCAGUUUAGUUUCACUAAACUGUACACUUAAAAAGGUUAAGAUGGUAAAAUUUAUAUUCUGUGUUAUUUUACAAUUUAGGAAAUAUGUGGUAUAUUUCACUUUUUUCUGCUCAAUAUGACAUUCAUAAAAUUUAUCCAUGUUGUUACAUGUACUUGUAAUUAUCUUAUUUGCACUGGUGAAUUUGUACUGGUGAGAACUUGUAGUUCUCUUAUUUGCACUAAUAUUUCAUGUGACUAUCGCGUAAUUUAUGUAUUCAUUUUUUUUCAACAGAUAUUUGGGUUGUUUCCAAUCUUUUUAGGGGGGUGGGUGAACAUAAACUAUAAAUAGUCCUGUGUAUGUCUUGGCACUUAUAUAAGUGGAACAGCUAGAUCGGAGGCUAUAUGAAUGUUCAACUUUACAAAUAGAUCUAUUUGUACAAAGUGGUUCAAUUAAUGUAUGCUCCCUCCAGCGAUAUUUAAAGAGUUUCAGCUGACCUACAUCCUUACUGACAUGUGAUAUUAUCAAAUAUCUUAUUAUUUGGGGAUCAGGUAGGUAUAAAAGGAUAUUUUACUGUUGUCUUAAUUUGCAUUUUCCUGAUUACUGCUCAUAUUUUCAUGUGUUUGUUGGCCAUGAGUUUUUUGUGAAUUGUUUGUUUGUGCCUUUUACCUAGUGUUUUUGGCUUAAAAAUUUUUCCAAGUAGAUUUGUAAGAGUUCUUUUUAUAUUCUAGAUACUAAUCUUCUUUCAAUUAUUUAUCAUAUAAAUAAAUGUCUUCUCCCAAU